rnacentral:rRNA from 1 species
UGGGGAAUCUUGGACAAUGGGCGCAAGCCUGAUCCAGCCAUGCCGCGUGAGUGAAGAAGGCCUUAGGGUUGUAAAGCUCUUUUGGCAGGGACGAUAAUGACGGUACCUGCAGAAUAAGCCCCGGCAAACUUCGUGCCAGCAGCCGCGGUAAUACGAAGGGGGCUAGCGUUGUUCGGAUUUACUGGGCGUAAAGCGCACGUAGGCGGAUUGUUAAGUCAGGGGUGAAAUCCCGGAGCUCAACUCCGGAACUGCCUUUGAUACUGGCAGUCUUGAGGCUGGAAGAGGUUGGUAGAAUUCCCAGUGUAGAGGUGAAAUUCGUAGAUAUUGGGAAGAAUACCAGUGGCGAAGGCGGCCAACUGGUCCAGAUCUGACGCUGAGGUGCGAAAGCGUGGGGAGCAAACA